GAGCAAUCUGUGUGACUGCGUACCUUUUGUAUAAUGGGUCAGCGACUUAUAUUCUGUAGCAAGGUUAACCGAAUAGGGGAGCCGAAGGGAAACCGAGUCUUAACUGGGCGUUAAGUUGCAGGGUAUAGACCCGAAACCCGGUGAUCUAGCCAUGGGCAGGUUGAAGGUUGGGUAACACUAACUGGAGGACCGAACCGACUAAUGUUGAAAAAUUAGCGGAUGACUUGUGGCUGGGGGUGAAAGGCCAAUCAAACCGGGAGAUAGCUGGUUCUCCCCGAAAGCUAUUUAGGUAGCGCCUCGUGAAUUCAUCUCCGGGGGUAGAGCACUGUUUCGGCAAGGGGGUCAUCCCGACUUACCAACCCGAUGCAAACUGCGAAUACCGGAGAAUGUUAUCACGGGAGACACACGGCGGGUGCUAACGUCCGUCGUGAAGAGGGAAACAACCCAGACCGCCAGCUAAGGUCCCAAAGUCAUGGUUAAGUGGGAAACGAUGUGGGAAGGCCCAGACAGCCAGGAUGUUGGCUUAGAAGCAGCCAUCAUUUAAAGAAAGCGUAAUAGCUCACUGGUCGAGUCGGCCUGCGCGGAAGAUGUAACGGGGCUAAACCAUGCACCGAAGCUGCGGCAGCGACGCUGAUGCGUUGUUGGGUAGGGGAGCGUUCUGUAAGCCUGCGAAGGUGUGCUGUGAGGCAUGCUGGAGGUAUCAGAAGUGCGAAUGCUGACAUAAGUAACGAUAAAGCGGGUGAAAAGCCCGCUCGCCGGAAGACCAAGGGUUCCUGUCCAACGUUAAUCGGGGCAGGGUGAGUCGACCCCUAAGGCGAGGCCGAAAGGCGUAGUCGAUGGGAAACAGGUUAAUAUUCCUGUACUUGGUGUUACUGCGAAGGGGGGACGGAGAAGGCUAUGUUGGCCGGGCGACGGUUGUCCCGGUUUAAGCGUGUAGGCUGGUUUUCCAGGCAAAUCCGGAAAAUCAAGGCUGAGGCGUGAUGACGAGGCACUACGGUGCUGAAGCAACAAAUGCCCUGCUUCCAGGAAAAGCCUCUAAGCAUCAGGUAACAUCAAAUCGUACCCCAAACCGACACAGGUGGUCAGGUAGAGAAUACCAAGGCGCUUGAGAGAACUCGGGUGAAGGAACUAGGCAAAAUGGUGCCGUAACUUCGGGAGAAGGCACGCUGAUAUGUAGGUGAAGUCCCUCGCGGAUGGAGCUGAAAUCAGUCGAAGAUACCAGCUGGCUGCAACUGUUUAUUAAAAACACAGCACUGUGCAAACACGAAAGUGGACGUAUACGGUGUGACGCCUGCCCGGUGCCGGAAGGUUAAUUGAUGGGGUCAGCGCAAGCGAAGCUCUUGAUCGAAGCCCCGGUAAACGGCGGCCGUAACUAUAACGGUCCUAAGGUAGCGAAAUUCCUUGUCGGGUAAGUUCCGACCUGCACGAAUGGCGUAAUGAUGGCCAGGCUGUCUCCACCCGAGACUCAGUGAAAUUGAACUCGCUGUGAAGAUGCAGUGUACCCGCGGCAAGACGGAAAGACCCCGUGAACCUUUACUAUAGCUUGACACUGAACAUUGAGCCUUGAUGUGUAGGAUAGGUGGGAGGCUUUGAAGUGUGGACGCCAGUCUGCAUGGAGCCGACCUUGAAAUACCACCCUUUAAUGUUUGAUGUUCUAACGU
rnacentral:rRNA from 1 species